rnacentral:lncRNA from 1 species
GAUUAGCCAGCUUGUCUAUCCUUUCCUGGGUCUGGUCUCCCAGCGGUUGGCAGCAGGGGCUGAGUCAGCAGCUGUGGUAUUACAGCCAUGCUCUACUUCCACGAGCAGAGAGCUAAAACUCUGCUCCAGCUGGGCCCCCAAAUGCAAUGCUGUCCCCAAAUGUGUAAGGAAUGUUGAACCAUGGUCCUCUUCUCUUAGCCAUAUUUUUGGGACCAUUUACCCACCACUGCUCUUGCUAUAUACAUAACCUGUUUUCAGAGAGGGCUGUUUUCAUAAUUCUUUAUCAUUUCCAGGGCACCUUUUGAUGUGAUUGCAUUUUCUACUCCAGGCCAUAAAAGUUGCAGCAGCAUUUAACUCAAUUGAGAUCACUGAGGACCCUUCCUGCCCCCGAUGCAACGGCUGCAUUUUGUCUGGAGUCUGCAUGGUUCUCCUGGUCAGCUUGCAGGACUGUGCGGAGCAGGAAGGAAUUCGCUUGGCUGGAAUGCACCCCUCCGGGCUGCAGGUUGGAAGCUGAAUGUCUAGGAAACCACGCCUAGCUUUCUAAAAGACGGGCACUGUCAGAAAACCCUGAGGAGCCCAGACCCACUGCACUCACUCUCCUUAUGGGCUGAUUCCCUGUGAUCUUGGCCUGCAACACGGAGUCGGAGCUGCCUAGAGUUGUGAUACAAGCUAGGUCACCACGGAGGAUGAACAGGAAGUUUGCACUUUCUGGAGAGUGCACUCAAGCUCCUGCGAAAAGCACCAAUGAGUGAGCAGAAUGUGUGACUCAAUGGAACUUCCUAGCCACGUCUUCAGCCCGGUAGCUACAAAAACAUGCGUGGACUGAGGCUGCGCCCACAGUCCUCAGUGAGGACGAGGACUCAGGCUACGGGGCUGUCGUCACAGCCUCACCUGCUAAGUGGUCCUGGAGAAGCCACGCUUCAUUAUAAAAAUGUUGUCAUUUUUAUAAAAUACCCUGUGAAUUAACUUUUACAAUAACACCCCCAUCCAUGAGUGGGUUUGAAUCAUCCUUUUAAAUUUCAAUGCAGGUGUUUAGAAAGCUUGAGGAAGAUUCUGGCCUUCUGUUAGGAAGCAGAUUUCAGGAAGGGCAGGUGAAAUUGCACACAGACGAGCUCAAUGGGUGUUUGAAUCUGUCUGCUCUGACCCCUGGGAAAUGCUUGCAUUUUCUCGUGGUGUGCACAGAGAACAGACCCUGCCUCCACUGUCUUCACUGUCAGGGAGCUAAGCAGCAGCCUCCCCUCACCUACGCUUUGUUCCAGACGUGAAGUUCCUUACAGGCAUCUCAAACCAACUCCUUGUUCCAGGAAUAUUUCACGCCUCCUUCCAAAUCUACUCCUGUCCUCCUCUGGUUUUCUGACUGGCUUCCUCCCAACGAUCUUGCCCCACUGCAUCAGCCCUGAGGGGCCCAGGACGUCUGCGGGGACUUCAACGGCCUUCUCCACCUUCAUGUAAAAUUCUUUUAAUCUUUCAGGAGAAAGCUGCUUUCUGAAUUGAAAAUGCUGUGGCCCUCACCAGGCAGCUUACCUGAAAACACUGCUAUCUUUCUUCUUGAAAAUUUGAGGAAA